UCUAAAUAAAUUAAAACUUUCAACAACGGAUCUCUUGGUUCUGGCAUCGAUGAAGAACGCAGCGAAAUGCGAUAAGUAAUGUGAAUUGCAGAAUUCAGUGAAUCAUCGAAUCUUUGAACGCACAUUGCGCCCUCUGGUAUUCCAGAGGGCAUGCCUGUUCGAGCGUCAUUUCAACCCUCAA
rnacentral:rRNA from 6 species